CAUUUGUUAUCUCAGUAUGCUGCUUCUGUUCAUCUUCCUUCUGGGACUUUGAUGGAGGAAGAAAAACUAGCUGCAUUAGGCUUGUCUGAUCAGCUUCCUCCUGCUCAAGGACUAUUUCAAGCUAAUCCAUCCCGGUUGCCUUUUUCUGUCAGUCAGCUUCCCACUGCCAUACCCACCAUUGGAACUCAUGUUAUCAUCAACCCAAAGCUCAAUUCUUGGGGCUUGCACUUGCAUUUUCAAAGGGUGGUUCCUAUCGUAAUGGAUAGGGCAAUCAAAGAAAUAGUGUCUGGCAUCGUUCAACGUAGUGUUUCUAUAGCUACACAGACAACAAAGGAACUUGUUUUGAAGGAUUAUGCCAUG
rnacentral:misc_RNA from 1 species